CACGACCAUGGAGCUCGAAAAUUGAUGUGUAUUUGAGUCAUAGGAGCUGUUGGUAAUUAGCGAUAUGCUCGUAUUGGUGAUGUUAUUUUUGCUGUAAUCAAAGACACAUUGCCCCAAAUGCCUCUAGAACAUCUGAAGUAA
rnacentral:rRNA from 1 species